ACAGCCACUCUCACUCUCCCUCUCGGCUCUCUCUCUCGCCUCUCUUACUCUCACUCGGCUGAGGGCGGCGCCGCCUCCGGCGCGCCUCCUCGCCGUCGCCUCGUCCCCUCUCUUUUCACUCCCUCGGUCUCCUCUUCCCACUCUCUCGCUGGUACAGUCGCCUCCGCCUCCACCAUGGCAGAACACGGCUCUCGCCGGUUGCCAUCGUUUCUCGGCCGUCCUCGGCCUUAAGGUAGGUCGGCAGAGACCAUUCCGCCGCUGCAUGUGCCUUCUCCGGCCGUUGUGAAAAGCCGAGCGUCGCCGCGCCGCUUCCCCCGUUCUCCGCCGUCUCCGCCAUGGCCGGAAUCGUGGUGGAUGGCCGAGCCUUGCCUCGCCGUGAAGAACCGCCGUUCGUGUCGCUGCGCCGCUGCUUCCGCCGCGUCGCCGGAAAAGAUAAGUCUCUCCCCCUUUUCUCUUUUUUUUUUUUUAUUUUUAUUUUAAACUGAAAUCCUAACCAUCUCUCUUUCUACCCUCUUCUCUCUCGUUUUUGGCAGGACAAGGGCUAGGCGGCUGUGCCGCCGCCGUUGCCGGCGUCGAGCAGCUACCGGCUGCUCAUACCCUUCUCACUAUUCCCGGUUACACACUCAAGACAGAGACACAAAAAGGCCCAAUUUCAGUCCAGAUUCACAAGUAUAGCAAAGCUAGGGUUUUGUUUAGAAAUCUGUUCUUUCAUCAUUCAUUUAUCAUUUUCUUAGCAAAAAUCAAACCUUGUAAAUGUAAUAGCUUAGAAAAUAUAUUAACAUGUGUGCGUGCGUAUUCUUCUGUUC